rnacentral:rRNA from 1 species
UACGAAGGGGGCUAGCGUUGCUCGGAAUCACUGGGCGUAAAGCGCACGUAGGCGGACUCUUAAGUCGGUGGUGAAAUCCUGGAGCUCAACUCCAGAACUGCCUUCGAUACUGAGAGUCUCGAGUCCGAGAGAGGUGAGUGGAACUGCGAGUGUAGAGGUGAAAUUCGUAGAUAUUCGCAAGAACACCAGUGGCGAAGGCGGCUCACUGGCGCGGUACUGACGCUGAGGUGCGAAAGCGUGGGGAGCAAACAGG